rnacentral:rRNA from 1 species
GAUGAACGCUGGCGGCGUGCUUAACACAUGCAAGUCGAACGAAGCGCGGAAGCGGAACCCUCCGGGGCGAAAUUUCCGUGACUGAGUGGCGGACGGGUGAGUAACGCGUGGGCAACCUGCCCCGUACCGGGGGAUAACAGCCGGAAACGGCUGCUAAUACCGCAUAAGCGCGCGGAGCCGCAUGGCUCUGCGUGAAAAACUCCGGUGGUACGGGAUGGGCCCGCGUCUGAUUAGUUAGUUGGCGGGGUAACGGCCCACCAAGACCGCGAUCAGCAGCCGGCCUGAGAGGGCGGCCGGCCACAUUGGGACUGAGACACGGCCCAG